AAAAUUAAUAUUUUAUGUUCUAAAAUGUAAACGCUGUCCAGCUAAAUUUAAUUUGUUUAUUUAUGUUAAAUGUAGAUAUUUAAUAUGUUAGAGAGGUGCGAGUUUGAUUACAAUUCUGUAUUUUUUUUAAUAGUUUGUUUAUUUGAGUUUAUCUGCGAUAAUUUUAAAAUAAAAUAUGAUUAAAUCGUUUUAAAUAUUGCACAACUGCUCAACUAAAUUGCCUAAACAU
rnacentral:lncRNA from 1 species